rnacentral:rRNA from 1 species
UACGUAGGUGGCAAGCGUUGUCCGGAUUUACUGGGCGUAAAGGGCGUGCAGGCGGUUUGUUAAGUGCAGGGUGAAAGCUCCCGGCUCAACUGGGAGAGGUCCUUGCAUACUGGCGAACUCGAGGGAGGCAGAGGAAAGUGGAAUUCCCGGUGUAGUGGUGAUAUGCGUAGAUAUCGGGAGGAACACCUGUGGCGAAGGCAGCUCGCUGGGACGUUACUGACGCUGAGACGCGAAAGCGUGGGGAGCAAACAGG